rnacentral:rRNA from 1 species
AAACUAGGAUUAGAUACCCUAUUUAUUAAAAAAUUAAAUAUAUAAAACUAAAAUAGUAAAUAAUUUAUUGAAACUUAAAUAAAUUGGCGGUAUUUUAGUUCAUUCAGAGGAAUCUGUUUAUUAAUUGAUAAUCCACGAAUAAAUUUACUUAAUUUAUUAUUUUGUAUAUCGUUGUUAAAAAAAUAUUUUUUAAUGAAAAUAAUAUUUUAAAAUUUUAAAAAGAGAUAAAAUCAGAUCAAGAUGCAGAUUAUAAUUAAGAAUAUAAUGGAUUACAAUAAAUUUAUUUAUAUGGUUAUUAAAUUGAAAUAUUUAAUUGAAAGUGGAUUUGAAUGUAAUUUUAUUUAAAUUAAUAAAAUGAUUAAUAAUUCAAAUAUGUACAUAUUGUCCGUCGCUUUAUUAUAAAUUUAAUAAGUCGUAACAUAGUA